rnacentral:rRNA from 1 species
CCUACGGGGGGCAGCAGUGAGGAAUAUUGGUCAAUGGCCGAGAGGCUGAACCAGCCAAGUCGCGUGAGGGAAGACGGCCCUACGGGUUGUAAACCUCUUUUGUCGGGGAGCAAAGCGCGUCACGUGUGACUCCUUGAGAGUACCCGACGAACAAGCAUCGGCUAACUCCGUGCCCGCAGCCGCGGUAAUACGGAGGAUGCGAGCGUUAUCCGGAUUUAGUGGGUUUAAAGGGUGCGCAGGCGGAGGUGCAAGUCAGCGGUCAAAUUGCGGGGCUCAACCCCGUACUGCCGUUGAAACUGCAUCCCUUGAGUGCGCGAGAAGUAUGCGGAAUGCGUGGUGUAGCGGUGAAAUGCAUAGAUAUCACGCAGAACUCCGAUUGCGAAGGCAGCAUACCGGCGCUCAACUGACGCUGAGGCACGAAAGCGUGGGGAUCGAACAGGAUUAGAUACCCUAGUAGUC